CCUACGGGAGGCUGCAGUGAGGAAUAUUGGUCAAUGGACGAGAGUCUGAACCAGCCAAGUAGCGUGAAGGAUGACUGCCCUAUGGGUUGUAAACUUCUUUUAUAUGGGAAUAAAACGUUCCACGUGUGGGAUUUUGUAUGUACCAUAUGAAUAAGGAUCGGCUAACUCCGUGCCAGCAGCCGCGGUAAUACGGAGGAUCCGAGCGUUAUCCGGAUUUAUUGGGUUUAAAGGGAGCGUAGGUGGAUUGUUAAGUCAGUUGUGAAAGUGUGCGGCUCAACCGUAAAAUUGCAGUUGAAACUGGCAGUCUUGAGUACAGUAGAGGUGGGCGGAAUUCGUGGUGUAGCGGUGAAAUGCUUAGAUAUCACGAAGAACUCCGAUUGCGAAGGCAGUUCACUGGACUGCAACUGACACUGAGGCUCGAAAGUGUGGGUAUCAAACAGGAUUAGAUACCCCUGUAGUC
rnacentral:rRNA from 1 species